rnacentral:lncRNA from 1 species
GGGAAACCUUGCAGCUGCCCGCUCACUCCAGUAGUCAGCAAGUCCAGCGCGGGGGCUAUGGAGGUGAUGGACGUGUUCUCCACUGAUGACCUCACCGGAUUUUUACAGGUCGGGCUUCAGUAAAUGCAUUUUGUUCAGCUGUGGGGAGCUGCGUACAGGAGACCUGAGUUCCUCGAAUAGGGCACAGCUUGAAAGGAUGUUUGAACAAGAAGAUCUUUAUGCCAUUAGUAUCUAGCAAGAGACAAACCUUGGAAACC